GACGAACGCUGGCGGCGUGCCUAAUACAUGCAAGUAGGACGCAGUUGCGAACGGGUGAGUAACGCGUAGGUAACUACCUAUUAGAGGGGGGUAACUAUUGGAAACGAUAGCUAAUACCGCAUACUAGUAGAUGGAACUGCGCUGUAUUAGUUAGUAGGUAGGGUAAUGGCCUACCUAGGCAACGAUACAUAGGCGACCGGGUAAGGUGAUCGGCCACACUGGGACCGAGACACGGCCCAGACUCCUACGGGAGGCAACCAGAGGGAAUCUUCGGCAAUGGGGGGAACGCUGACCGAGCAACGGCGCGUGAGUGAAGAAGGGUUUCGGAUCGGAAAGCUCUGUUGUUAAGGAAGCGGUACUUAACCAGAAAGGGACGGCUAACUACGUGCCAGCAGCCGCGGUAAUUC
rnacentral:rRNA from 1 species